UGAAAGUCUCCGGGUCGCCCCAUAUUUUGGGGCUGUUGUGGAUUUCCCACAAAUUCACCAGCAAGACCGUCCCCGCCGGUACCCGGUAGCCGCCCACCGCGCACUCCGACGACGACAGGUGCGGCAUCACUAUGGACACCGGAGGGUGCAGCCGCAUCGCCUCUAGGAUGAUGUGCCGGAGAUACGGCAGCUCCGCCACGUCCGAUUCCGCGAUCAACCGCCUGCAUCCCACGUGGCCGUCGAUUUCGGAUUGCGCUUUUUUUAGGAUUUCUGGAUUGUCCAGCAGCAGAGAAAAUGCCCAUUCUAGGGCGAUUGUUGAAGUUGAGGUUCCUCCUUGGAGCAGCACCUGAAAUUAUUAAUUAAUUUCUUUAUUGUUUUAAAUAAAUCUCCCACGAUGCUUCACAUUCUCAAUUUGUAAAUUCUAAUGACUCCGUGUGGGUUGAAUAUGAAAUUUAUUUAGAAAAAUAAUGCGAAAAGAGUUGAAUAAUAAAUUCAGCAUAUUUUAUUCAAGGAUCUCCUUCAAGCAGUAUUUUAUUAUAGCGAACAAGUAACAACCAAGGCUGGUAAUGCUGAGUUCAUGUAUGAUUGAAUAAAAUAUAAGAUCAUGACACAAACCAUCAUGAGUCAUCAAGUAUGUAAGCAUCAACUAUAAUUUAUAUUGUUCUGAGUUCAUUUGGAAAUAAAUUAAAAUUAGGGCGUGUUUGGUUUUGGGUUUUACAGCAUAUUAGUUAAGUUAAUACAGAGUAGUAAAGAGUUUGGUAUUUUAUAACACUUAUGCGGACGGUUCUGCGAUAUGUGAAGGCCCUGAGCUAAAAAUCCGGAUUGCGCAGGAUAAUUAAUACCGCCCCCCUCGGAUUACGCAGGAUAAUUAAUACGGCAUUGCAAUUGUGUCAAUUUUUAAGCUUAUCUAACCUUGAAAUAUGAAUACCAAACGAAAAUCAUGAUUAAUUAACCAUAAUAACAAACAACCAACCAAUAUUAGUAACACAUAUUUAUCCAUGCUAAUAAUCUAAUUUACUAACUAUACUGACUAAUUCCUUACCCAAAACCAAACACGCCCUUAGUGUUCAAAAUCAAUGAAUAUUUCGCUAAAUUUAAAUUGUUGAUUAGAGUUUUGGUAGGUUAUAGUAAUUUAAUUUAAUUUUAUCCACAUCUACAUAUUCUUAAUUGCAGAUAUUAUACCUUAUGAUUCAUAUUGGAUGAACAAGUAUUAAUUAUUGUGACAAAUAUCUUGAAUUUUAUCAACAUUUUCUGUCAUUUCUUAAUAGUGAAGACAAUCAAAAUUCUAGUUAGAGAUUAUCCUAACAAACGUGCAAGUUGCAAUCAACAAACUCAAAGAACCAAUAGAAUUAAAGAGGCAUAUUUGGUAAGUUCAGCGAAUAAGCAUAUAUCUUGAGUAAUCCGAUUAAUUUAUAAACUGAGGUUUAUUGCUGCUGACAGCCUGUAUUAUCCCAUGACACUGCACUAUUUCUUUUGCGGAAGUUAAUUUGAUUUAAGUGAUAAACACAUGAUUGAUAAAAUAAUUUUAUUUAAUCAAAUGUUCGAUUUAAUAACUUGACUUGCAGCCUAAUCAUAUAAUUUGAUGAUUAUUUAACACCUUAAAGUUAAAUUAAUUAUUUAAUCAUCCUGGAUCCUAUCUUAUAAAUCUUAUUUAUCACGUGCACCGAACCAAACUUUUCCUUAUAAUAUAUAUUUCCUAAACAAAAGUACAUGAUCACUAGCUAAUUUGCAUACAUGAGAAUAUUUUGAAUUAUCUUCAAAUUAGUGCGGUAUGGAAUAUCAUUAAAGAUUUUUAUAAAUAAUUUGUGUAUGAUAACUAUUACCGUCAAUGCAAAAUUUAAAUUUGUUCUACAACAAAUCUAUUAAUAAUUUUCAUAACAUAGUGUAUCACUAGCUAAAGCAAUUAUUAUUGAUUUGCUUUUGUGAAAAUAAUAAAAAUAUCCACAUUACAUUAAUAUAUAUCACAGAAUUUAAAUUAGAAGAUCUUAAUUUAAGAGAAUUAUGUUUGAGACUCUGCUGAAUUGGAAGUUUAAUAUAAAAAGAAGAAAUAAAAACCCUUGAAUGCACAAGACGCAAGCAAGGAACAGAGACUCUAAAAGAGUCCGAAAAACAAAAACAACAACGCGCAGAAAAGUCUAAACGUUACCGCAAAAACCAACAAUCAAAAAGUAAAAUCCAUAUUGGAAUGAUAAUCAUCCUUGUUGCGAUCAUUUUCCAUGUCUAUUACAUCCGACCAACGGAUGUUCGGAAUAUUGGAAUGAUAAUCAUCCUUGUUGCGAUCAUUUUCCAUGUCUAUUACAUCCGACCAACGGAUGUUCGGAAUAUUGUUCAUAGUACGCAUCGCGUUGCUGCUACUAUGAUCAACCACGAAGUUGUUCUGCUGAAAUCCAAUACCCUCCGCAUUUCUUAGGCGGUUUUUAACGCUAUUAGUCGGAACUGCAUGUACAAGCUCCCUUCCUUUUCCCGAGCCUUUUGGACGGCCACGUCCGCGCUUCGGCUCCGAGGGCAAUAACAUCUCUUGAUUAACCUGGUCCUCUAACCGAUUUAUACGACUAGCAAUAUCCUCCGGAGUAGGAUUGGACUGCUUAUCUCCAACAACCUCCUUUUGAAUCGAAUAAUGAACCUGCUCACUCACAAAACCAUCUGUCCCAACCUCCGACUGCUGCUCCGCCACUGCAUCCUUAAGCGCCAAAGUUUCAUUUCGCAAGCUAUUGCCCUCCUCUGCAGCAGCUGCCACAUUCUUCGCAAGAUUCACGACUCCAUUCGGCGUCUCCAUCUCUAUUUCCUCAUCCACAUCCUCAUCGUUGCCAUCCAGUUGAUGCUCCGAAGUUACCGGGACAAGCACAACUUCCAACGAAUCAGGCCCUGACAAAAAACGGUCAUCCCUCUCGUUCACCUCCUCAUGGGACGUCACAACCUGCUCCAUAACAUUCGACUGUAAAGCAGCAAACCUAUUCUCAAUAAGGGUUGCAGCGCAUGAUGAGACCUUCUGCUGCACCGCAUGCUGUUCCUCGACAACCUCUUGUCGUAUCAAGUUAUUUCCAUGUGCUGGUGAAGCCCGCACCUGUUCAGAUUGUAGCCCCACCGGAAUCGAUUCACCCCAAGAAAUCCCUGGCUCAGAAACCUCCUGCCAUUGUUUCGCCAUUGCUUGUUGUUUUCCAGCCUGCUUCAUAGUAGCCUCCACUGGCGGAUUAGUUUUACGACACUUAUCGGGAGGAUGCCCCGUAAUCUUACAUUUGGAACAAUAAUACGGUAAGUACUCGUAAGUAAACUCAACAUGAAAAGAAUAGUCACCCCCAUCAAAAAGAAGCGUGGUAGGGAGAGAUUUGGACAUAUCUAACUCCACAAGAACACGCGCGAACUGUCCGAAAUCUCGAGUAAUCGAAGCACCAUCAAUCUUCAGCGGAUGGCCCACGAAACGUGCAAUUCCAGCCAGCACCUCCGCAUGCCAAUAUUCGAUAGGCAAAUAAUGUAUACGAAUCCAAACGUUUGCCAACGACGAGAGUUCUUUAAACGGAUCAAAGUUCUUCACCCACUCGCGAAGGCGGAGAUGUCCAUUAAAAACUUCCCAAAUCAACUUGGCUUUAGCUCGUUGUUUAUCCGCUGCGUUCUGGAAGACUAUGGUAUAGUAUCCUUUACCCAAAGGAAUGAGUUGCCAAGGCGAACUUAUAUUCCACAUGUUAUGAAGCUCAUUUUUAAUCAUCAACGCAGGCUUGGGCUUCUCCCCUUUGUUUAACAACAACCUUCCCGUCAAAGCAUGAUUAAGGUCAGAAAUCUGUUUCAAAUGAAGCUCUGUAGGCAUCUUGAAACAGUAGUGAUCACCUUCUUUUGUAGGGCGUAGAGCAUGAUAAUGAUGUGCAGCAACAUCCGGACGACGCGGCGUCCGAUUCGCAGUAAUAUCGACAUAUGAUUUGACAAGAGUCGUCUCAGCCGUCUUCUGUUGGGAGCGGUUAUUUGCUGGCACAAUAUAAGAAUUAUUCCCUGGAAGAUUGGCAUUAGGAGCCAUGUUUCGACUGCGCUGAUCAGCAGACGAGCCAUCUACAUGAAACUGGUGUGACGCAGGCUGAACAGAUCCCGCCAACCCCAUAGGCGGGCUAGGGUUCCGGUGCAGCUGAGAUGCCUCUGGCAGAAGAGAGCUUGACACAGUAGCAAUUCGUCCCGAUGGGCUAGGAUUUUUCUUGUGUGGCAGGGAAGAAUUAUGAGUAAAAUUGUUGGAGACAACCGGUAGGUUAAGCCCACCCGUUGACAUGAUUGCAGAAGCGGCGGCGGCGGCAAGAGAUUUCCGAGCGAGCAGCGUCUAACAGCUGGUUGCGGCGUGUUGAUUCCUCCAACGGCGGAGGCGAGCAGGGGCACGGCUGUCGGCGGAGGCGAGCAGCGGUAGAGUCUCGCUGAAACGGCCUUCCGCCCAGAUGGCAGCGGUACGGCGGCUGCUCGGUCGGUCAACGGCCGGUCGUGGGGUCUCGGCUGAAAGCCUCUCUCAUCCUUGCCCAGGUGAACCACGGCAUGCGGAGGAGGCGGCGCUGAGGCUGCUGCUGACGUGCCGUGGUGUGUACUGCCGGAGGAGCGAGUCGAUCAGCGGCUGCGGGAGGAGAAGGCUGCUGCCGACGUGCCGUGGUGUGACCGGAGGAGGAGGGGUGGGGAUCCCCUUUUUGGCUCCUCCGUAUGGGCGCGGCGGAGAUGGCGCAAAGUCACUCACGCCUCCUUAAAGUCACGCACGCAUCCCAUUUUUCAAAAGAUGAACAGUGCAGAGCACUUUCAAAAGAUGAACAGUGCAGAGCACUUUUAUAUAAUCACACGAAACUUGAAUAAGAUUCCCCAAAUAUAUAUGUACAUAUUUAUAUCAUAUGUAAGCUAGUCUACGCAGCUAAUGUAUUUUUAAUUUUGAUGUGAUUUAUAUGACAAUCGAAUACAUUAUAUAGGUGCUUACAGAAGUGCUUAUAAUAUAUAUAUAUAUGUGUGUGUGUGUGUGUGUGUCAUGUGGUGGCUAAUAAAGUUCACAACCUAGGCAUGCAGUAAAUUUAAGUAUUAUGCGUGUGCAUAAAAGGAAACAAAUACAGAUGCAUGCAUCAUGCAGUGUUAUCAAUCUCAUGGAAAACCAAAUCCAAUAAUGCAACGCACAAACAAUUUGGAUGGCAUCUAUUUCUAGUCUAAUUAUCCAAUUCUGCAAUCACAAUAAUAAAGUUAUCUAAUAUUGAUGCAAUCUUUAGCUUACACCAAAAAUAUAUCACAAAAUGUGUCACGAUAUUUUUAGGUAUAACAAAGUAUAGCUAUAUUCACACAUAUAUUUACAUACUUUUGUUACACACAUAAAAAUAUAAGUGAAUUUUAUAAAAAAAUAAAUAUACAAUAAAUUUUGUAACAUCUAAAUUAUCUCAAAAUANCUCAGAAGCAUUUUUUGAGUUAGGCCCAUUCUCUUUCUUUAUCACUGGACCAAUGCUGUCAGUAGAGUAGUAUCAAUUUAAUUUAGCCGAAUGGAACCUAAUAAUUAUGAACAUUUUAGAAACUCUUCCUUUUAAUUCCAAAAUAUUCAGAAACUUAUAUUUGAGUUGUUAGUAAAAUUAAUUAAAACUCGAAUCCAAUUUAGCUAAUUAAUAUACUCUACUGAUUCUCUGAUGAAAACAAAUUAAGUUAACAACUAUUCAGAAUGUGUAUCAAUACAAAAUGAUAUCAUUAUAAUUAUAUAAAAGUAUUAUUUGGAGAAAAGGAGGAUAGAUUAGGUUAAGAGAAAAAAUGAUGAAUAAAUGGACGAGGCGUACAUUUAGCCAUUAAUGGUUGAACCUUAGGCGUUGUGGUUCCAGCACCUUCGGUCAUAUCAAUCUCCCCAACUUUGUCCCAUUGGAAACACUGGAUCAAGGAUCCGAGGCCCAGCCCGAUAUUCAAGUUGGCCAAGUUCUCGCCCGGGCAGGCCCGUCUACCCGACCCGAAAGGGAAAAACUGCAGCCCCAAAUCCUUCUUCACAUCCACUCCCUCAAAGCGUUCGGGCCUGAAAGUCUCCGGGUCGGCCCAUAUUUUGGGGCUGUUGUGGAUUUCCCACAAAUUCACCAGCAAGACCGUCCCCGCCGGUACCCGGUAGCCGCCCACCGCGCACUCCGACGACGAGAGGUGCGGCAUCACUAUGGACACCGGAGGGUGCAGCCGCAUCGCCUCUAGGAUGAUGUGCCGGAGAUACGGCAGCUCCGCCACGUCCGAUUCCGCGAUCAACCGCCUGCAUCCCACGUGGCCGUCG
rnacentral:lncRNA from 1 species